UACAUGGGGGUGCAAACGUUGCUCGGAAUUAUUGGGCGUAAAGCGCGCGUAGGCGGUUACUCAAGUCGGAUGUGAAAGCCCUCGGCUUAACUGAGGAAGUGCACCCGAAACUGAGUAGCUAGAGUACUAAAGAGGGUCGCGGAAUUCCCGGUGUAGAGGUGAAAUUCGUAGAUAUCGGAAGGAACAUCAGUGGCGAAAGCGGCUUCCUGGACCAGCACCGACGUCAGGCACGAAAGCGUGGGGAGCAAACAGG
rnacentral:rRNA from 1 species